rnacentral:rRNA from 1 species
CCUACGGGCGGCAGCAGUGGGGAAUAUUGGACAAUGGGCGAAAGCCUGAUCCAGCCAUGCCGCGUGUGUGAAGAAGGCCUUCGGGUUGUAAAGCACUUUCAGUGGGGAAGAAAGCCUUGGGGCUAAUACCCUCGAGGAAGGACAUCACCCACAGAAGAAGCACCGGCUAACUCCGUGCCAGCAGCCGCGGUAAUACGGAGGGUGCGAGCGUUAAUCGGAAUUACUGGGCGUAAAGCGCGCGUAGGCGGUCUGAUAAGCCGGUUGUGAAAGCCCCGGGCUCAACCUGGGAACGGCAUCCGGAACUGUCAGGCUAGAGUGCAGGAGAGGAAGGUAGAAUUCCCGGUGUAGCGGUGAAAUGCGUAGAGAUCGGGAGGAAUACCAGUGGCGAAGGCGGCCUUCUGGACUGACACUGACGCUGAGGUGCGAAAGCGUGGGUAGCAAACAGGAUUAGAUACCCCAGUAGU